rnacentral:pre_miRNA from 1 species
AAGACAGAUUAUUGUAUUCGACUGUAUUCACGGCGUGAAACAGGGGAUUACAUUGUUUUUAAACGGAAAUUGAAUCAACUAACAUAAUAGACUCCU